rnacentral:ncRNA from 2 species
AAAAUUAUUGCAGGAGAGAAGCAUUCCGCUCGCCGAAGGAGCAACCGCCCCGGAAACUUUCAGGCAAAAGGACUGUGAUAAUUAC